UACUGAAUAAGAGUAAAAUACCACACAAACUAGCUUGAACUGACUGUACAUGAUUUUUUUUAUUAUUAUUAUUAUUCCUGUCAGUACUGUAGAUAGUGUCAACUUGGAUUUUACAUUGGACUGAGUGAAAAUCAAUAUACCUGUUUUUUUUUUUUUUUUUUAACUGAAAAAGCAUCAUUUGUAGUGUGGUCUUGAAUGGAUUUUACCAGGAUUUACAUGUACAUUGGACUGACUCCCCAUAUCAU